rnacentral:rRNA from 1 species
GAUGAACGCUGGCGGCGCGCCUAACACAUGCAAGUCGAACGGCACCCACCUUCGGGUGGAAGCGAGUGGCGAACGGCUGAGUAACACGUGGAGAACCUGCCCCCUCCCCCGGGAUAGCCGCCCGAAAGGACGGGUAAUACCGGAUACCCCGGGGUGCCGCAUGGCACCCCGGCUAAAGCCCCGACGGGAGGGGAUGGCUCCGCGGCCCAUCAGGUAGACGGCGGGGUGACGGCCCACCGUGCCGACAACGGGUAGCCGGGUUGAGAGACCGACCGGCCAGAUUGGGACUGAGACACGGCCCAGACUCCUACGGGAGGCAGCAGUGGGGAAUCUUGCGCAAUGGGGGGAACCCUGACGCAGCGACGCCGCGUGCGGGACGGAGGCCUUCGGGUCGUAAACCGCUUUCAGCAGGGAAGAGUCAAGACU